UCUCGGAUCAAACCAAACUGCACAUGGCUCUGGGGAAAUAUCAAGGCGGACAACACCGUGAUUACUGCCUGCCAACAUCAGCGUGCUUCUCAUCAUGAAAUGCGGGCUUGUGUUUAGAAAUUACGUUUUUGCUAGAGGAAAUAAACAGCACAUAUUCUAAUCUUUCGUUUUCAUUUUCAUCUGACUCCUCAACUCAACCGUGGGGGACCCGAGGGCGAGCAGAGGAAGCAGAUUGCCACAGCUGCUUUCCCUGCCACUGCCGUGAUUCAGCAGAUUUCAAAACAGAACUCCGGGCGCUGAGACCUUCGCAGUGCAGUCUUCCUUUUGGGCCUGGUUUGUACCCUGCCGCAUUUGGGGCAGUCAGGUCUACAAACCUGCUGCUGUCUCGGAUGUGGCACAAGGCUUCCCGGAUCCUUCCAAACUUUUGCCUUCCUCCUGCCCCCAGGUCUGACCUAACUAUUCUCUUAACCUUAGAUGGGUAGUUACUCUUCAAUGAUUUAUUGCAUUAAGUCUUCCCAGUAGUAUUUGGGAAUUAAAAAAGAAGACUUCCAGGACUCAGUCUUAUUUCAACACUUGAUCUUAGCCAAAAGGCCGAAAAGAGAUAACUCAGUCUUAUUUCAGACUUGAUUUUCUUAAAAACUCCCCAGCCAAUUUAGCCAGAUUCCAGAACCACGGUCACAGGGCAAACUAGCAAACAGCAGAAUGACCUGGGGUGCUGCGAAAACACAGGGCUGGGGAGGCUCCUUCUUCUAAGCUUCUGACUCCCCAAGUCUGGGUUGAGGCCCCCCGGGGUUACUCAGGCCCUGACGGUCCUGAAGGACGCCUCUUUCAUCCCCAGAGCUGAGCACAGUGUCUUGCGCGCGUUUGCUGAAUGAACUCCACAAAGUGCUCUCAGAGCGAUGCCCACCAGCGGGAAAGCUGCGAUGAUCACCGAGUGGAAAGGGUGGGAGGAGACUGGACCCCCGCAGCAUGUAUACUGCAAGAUGACCUAAGCGGAGGUGACUUAGUUUUCCAAGGUGCUUAAAUUUUGUCAGAAGCA